rnacentral:rRNA from 1 species
AGUGAACGCUGGCGGUAGGCCUGACACAUGCAAGUCGAACGGCAGCACAGUAAGAGCUUGCUCUUACGGGUGGCGAGUGGCGGACGGGUGAGGAAUACAUCGGAAUCUACUUUUUCGUGGGGGAUAACGUAGGGAAACUUACGCCAAUACCGCAUACGACCUACGGGUGAAAGCAGGGGAUCUUCGGACCUUGCGCGAUUGAAUGAGCCGAUGUCGGAUUAGCUAGUUGGCGGGGUAAAGGCCCACCAAGGCGACGAUCCGUAGCUGGUCUGAGAGGAUGAUCAGCCACACUGGAACUGAGACACGGUCCAGACUCCUACGGGAGGCAGCAGUGGGGAAUAUUGGACAAUGGGCGCAAGCCUGAUCCAGCCAUACCGCGUGGGUGAAGAAGGCCUUCGGGUUGUAAAGCCCUUUUGUUGGGAAAGAAAAGCAGCAGGUUAAUACCCCGCUGUUCUGACGGUACCCAAAGAAUAAGCACCGGCUAACUUCGUG